UUUCAGCUUUGGUUUGCUUUCGUUAAUGGAUUUUCUGGGCAGAUCUUAUUUGAGCGAUGGUGCAUUGGUCUGUAUAACGUGAUUUUCACAGCACUGCCACCCUUUACUCUGGGAAUUUUUGAAAGAUCAUGUACUCAAGAUAGCAUGCUUAGAUUUCCACAGCUAUACAAAAUUACUCAAAAUGCAGAUGGUUUCAACACAAGGGUUUUCUGGGGUCACUGCAUCAAUGCCCUUAUCCAUUCCAUCAUUCUUUUCUGGUUUCCACUGAAAGUGCUGGAGCAUGGUAAGGGCUUCUUUAUUUCUUA